AAUAUACUCCCUCCGUCCGAAAAUACUUGUCAUCAAAAUGGAUAAAAAGAGAUGUAUCUAGAACUAAAAUACUUCUAGAUACAUCCUCUUUUAUCCAUUUUGAUUACAAGUACUCCGGACGGAGCAACAUUGUAUAUG
rfam:Triticum aestivum genome assembly, contig: Triticum_aestivum_CS42_TGACv1_scaffold_320345_4BL